rnacentral:tRNA from 1 species
GGGGCUGUAGCUCAAGUGGUAGAGCGCUCGCUUAGCAUGUGAGAGGCACGGGGAUCGAUACCCCGCAGCUCCA